UGCGCUUAUAGCUCAGCUGGAUAGAGUGACGGACUUCGAAUCCGGAGGUCACAGGUUCAAAUCCUGUUAGGCGCACCAU
rnacentral:tRNA from 1 species